UACGUAGGGUGCAAGCGUUGUCCGGAAUUAUUGGGCGUAAAGAGCUCGUAGGCGGUUCGUCGCGUCGGCUGUGAAAACCUGAGGCUCAACCUCAGGCCUGCAGUCGAUACGGGCGGACUUGAGUACUGCAGGGGAGACUGGAAUUCCUGGUGUAGCGGUGAAAUGCGCAGAUAUCAGGAGGAACACCGGUGGCGAAGGCGGGUCUCGUGGGCAGUAACUGACGCUGAGGAGCGAAAGGCGUGGGGAGCGAACAGG
rnacentral:rRNA from 1 species